rnacentral:lncRNA from 10 species
GCGCCAUUUUCGAGUGAUGCCUGAUCUCAUCAAUCUAGCGGGAGAGACAGGAUAACCUGUCCGAGAGUAUAGCGCCACUAUGACUCCGCCGGAAAAAUUACUUUAAAAAUCGCCAAAAAUUACUUGGAGCAAAGGGCAGUCGGCGGAGCUUCGCCAAGGCUGGCGCAGUCGGUUUAAUAAUGAUAGAAUGAAGACCACAAUAAAAGAGACCUCUACUUAGCUCAGCAAUUCUUACCUUUCUUACCUAUUUGAUGAAGAUGUCUUUUGAAAGGUGUACUGCAAGGAACAAAAUGUUUGUAAAUUCUCCUUUUACCAAGGUGGAUAAUUACUGUACCUUCCUCAUGGAAAAAGUUUUAUUUAAAGUGUUAUUUCUCAUUGAAUACUAUCAAAAAGGAAAAAAAAAUGACCUAAACUUUUGAGAUAGAUUUGGCUCUAGUAAGUAUUUAGUUAUAUCACUUGCAUAUCUGGGAGAAGAAAUAAGAGACUAUCAUCAGUACAUUCCCAUCUACUAAAAAAAUUUAUUUUACACAUGUCAAGGGAUUACUUAUAACUUCCAUUUUAUUACUAAUAGCUUGAACCCUUUUAAUGAAGACCUAACUCCUCCACCAGAAAUUUAAGUUUAUGUUCUUACUUUGUUUACUUAUAAAAUACAUCUCAGGUAUUUCGGAUGUCUUUUUUUUUUCUAAGCCUAUAUGAAAUGAAAAAUAUAUUGGCAAAAUAAAUGUUUAAACCUUUUACGUUAAAAUUACUUUGAAAGAUGAAAAGUUAGUGCUGUUUUUGUCUACGUUAUACUGAAAUUAAAUGUUUAUAAUUUAUAUUUUGGGUUUAUGUAUAAAUCAUGGAAUUUAUGCAAAAAUAUGAGUAGUACAGAUUCUCCUCUAAUUCUGUAGGACUUUGAAUAAUGUGAUAUUUUUCUUAUAAUUGGACCCUUGUGUUUUGAAGAAAUGCCAACUGCUUGAAGAAUCUCCUUGUUAUUUGUAUUAUUUGCUAUAGGGUUAGAUGUUGAGAAAUUCUGCUGACAAAAAAUUUUAAGCCAGUUUUACACUAAAUGUUCCUCAGUCUGAUUAAUUUGUUAUUGGAUGUAUUCUGUAUCUUUCUUUUGUAAUUUGUAACUUUUAUCCACUUAGCACGAAUGAUUCUAUUAAAGAAAAUCAUUAGGAAGUGGUAGAAACUUUA